CCUUCCCACUGGUUCUCACAAAGUGUGCUUCUCUGGGUGGAGCAGGCUUUAUCCUUUCAACAGCUUUUACUAAGCAUCUUCAUUGCUGGCCCUGUGUUAGAUGACAGCAUAAACCAGCAAGACAGACCAGGCUGAAGCAAAAUUAAGACUGAGAGACGAAACCAAGGUUGAGCCCAGGUUAGGAAAGUUUAACCUCCCAGCUGGGUGCUCCAGCCCCAAUAGCGUCGCGAUGCUGGGGACGAGGUCUAGGAGAAGGGAAAUGGGGGGCACUUAGAGCCCCAAAUCCAUGAACCACGCUGGUCUGUUUUAGGAAAGCAACAUCUUGAGGCUUCAUGGUGUUCUGUGCUCCCUGCUGGGAAGCGCUGGGCUGGCUGGAGGUUUUCAUCUCGGGACUGGGGGUGCAUCCCCACACUGCCUGGCUGAAUAUGUUGGUGCUUUCCCAAUGACCUUGACGUCUGGUGUUUGUCUGGUGCAAUACGUCAGUGGGGAGACGGUCGUGCUAACAGCGUAUUCGGCUCAGCAAAAGCUUUCAUUGCAUGCAUCCAUGGAGUUUGGGGGACAAUCUUGAUCUCUCUUAGCUGAAUGGGAGUCUUCGAUUCUAUGAAGGGCCAGACGCAUUGCUGGUGGGUGGGUUGGCACAGUCCACUGCAAGCCUUCACCAAUGGCACUGGUGCCGCCGCUGACGCAGGGAGGAGAGGGCUGCUCUGCGGAUUGACCGGUUGGAGGCAGGUGCAGGUUCCAGAGACCCCCAUGCUCCCCAAUGCUUGGGAGGCGCUGUGGUUUGACUUGAAUGCUGCUGUGGAGUUAUUGGUGGCUCCCCCAAGCAUAGUUCACAAAUGAACUGAGGUUUGAUGUUGUUUUAGGUACCAUACGUGUUAUUUUCUCAAAAAUAUGUCCUGGAACGUCCCUGCCUCCGAUGGCUUUCUUUGGGGACAUGAGUUCCCUGGCAUGUGGGUGGCAACACUGCCCCCUGCUGGUGUUGGGCAGCAUCAUCAGGCACCCGGGCAAAGGCUCCAGCCUCAGCCUCGGCCGUAGGUCACAGCCGAUUGGACACAGAACCUGAGAUUUUCCUACAAAGUUUAAGAUUUGAACUGAAUACCAUCCAGAGGUGUGAUCCUAAAGCAAUGGCGACAUUGCUACUAGGUUCAAGCAGAACUUACUUUUUCCCUACUGCUCACCAGGUAUUAAAUAUUUAGUGACAUUUCUGUUACCUGGCAUUGUAAUUAUUUCAAAUGAAUUCUUGUGUUCUAUAUUGUUUCGUUUUUAUUGGACUAUGUUUUUCUUUACAUGUAUUGUGGAUACCUUUGUAAAGACUCAUCCAAAUUUAUUUUUUUGCUCCAUAUUUUGUAAGAAUUUUUAGUAAUGCAUUUGCCUUGUCAGUAUGAAUCUUAUAUAAAUUUAUUCUAAUUCAGGCAACCCACUCGGGUCUCCUUCAACGCUAUGGAAGCUUUGCUCUUUUGCUCUUUGCAAUAAAUCUUGCUACUGUUCACUCUUUGGGUCCAUGCUGCUUUUAUGAGCUGUAACACUCACAGGGAAAAUCUGCAGCUUCACUCCCGAACCGAGCGAGACCACGAGCCCACCGGGAGGAAAGAACAACUCCAGACAUGCUGCCUUAAGAGCUGUAACACUCACCGCGAAGGUCUGCCGUUUCACUCCUGAGCCAGUGAGACCACGAACCCACCAGAAGAAAGAAACUCUGAACACAUCUGAACAUCAGAAGGAACAGACUCCAGACGCGCCACCUUAAGAGCUGUAACACUCACCGCGAGGGUCCGCGGCUUCAUUCUUGAAGUCAGUGAGACCAAGAACCCACCAAUUCCGGACACAGAAUUUCAUGGAGCCUGGAGCCCAGGAAAAGGGUGAAUCCAAUGCAGGCUGAUUUCUGGCUUACAUCACAGUCCAGUCUGAUUUUCUGCAGAUUACUUUCUACAAGACGAUUUGGGACCUCAGUUUACCACCUCCCAGCGGACCGACGGGUGCGGUUUGCGGAUGGAGAUGGACACCUAGUGAAUGAUUUAAUCCACCAACAAUUGUGGCACACAGGCAUCGUCUUCCCCACGCCAGGACUCAGAGGCUGAGCCCAGGGUGCUGAGAGGCUGAGCCCACAGCUCCGGGGUGAGGAAUGGAGCUCCCCGAGCGCGGCUUAUCUUUCAAGGGAGCUCACACUCUUUUACAACAACCCUCGAGGUGAGGGCUCCUUCAGACUCUCCCAACUCCACCCAUGGCCACAGCCUCCGGGGCAGGGCUCCUGUUCCUACCCACCCCUCAAGCUCCUUCUCAUCCACAUGCCCAGGCUAACGUUAGCCACACUGGCAGCGGGGGAACUGACCCUGAGCAGCAGGCGCUGGCCCCUGCUCCAAGCCCUGCUUUCCGAGUGAACUCUUGUACCAGCUGGAAUUGUCUCCGGGUGCUUCCUCCGUCAGACCACGGUCAAGUGCAGGUCCAGUGUUUUGGGUCAGAUGUCAGUGGGCAGGCUCAGCAUUCAUCCAAAGAAAUAGCAGCUUCGUAAUUGGUUACUUGUAGGGGUAAUUAGCUAUCUGCAUAAAUUAACUGAUUCCUCCUCAUAGUAUGUCCCCUAUAGACAGUGAGGGUUCAAUUUGCUGUUGGUGAAUUUGCUAGUACAAGCAAGGUAAUUCUACAUGUCUGGAGAAUGGAUGUAGCAUAAAUUGGGUCUUUUGGCCAAAAUGAGAAAUAACAGAUGCAAAGAUAUUGCUAUUUAACAAAUGCACAGUUUUGCUCCACUUUUGGUUAAGAGUCUUGUUUGCUUUUGAUGAAGAGUCAAGGACUGAAAUAAUGUAAAAAAGUUAAGAAUAUUUAUUUAAACAGGAAUUUUCAUCUAAGGUCCAAGCACAAAUAGCCCCGGCAACACCACGUUCCAGCACCGAGCACAGUACGAUAACUGUGCUCAAGGUUACCUUCCAUUUCAAGUUGUAAGCAUUUUUCCAGAAAUAUCUAUGACUGGAGUUAGAACCAUGACGGCUCAGUCAUGUUGUUAGUCUCAUGAUGAAGAACAUGAAAUAGUUUGGAGAAAAAGACAGAUACAUUUAAUGGUUCCAAAUUACAGAUCCUCCACGGUGGAUCAAAAGCUUACUGGGACAUUUUUCUUUAAGGGCAAGGGAAUUCAAGAUACUGGUGGCGCCAUUUCAACAAAUCAUUGCCGUAAAUGUGGUUUGCGGGAGGCCACCAGGCUGGUGGACAUGGGUUGUUCCACCAGGCUAGAACACAAUUGCUUUUGUGUGUUGUGUGUAUGUGUGUGUCUUAUGUAUGUUUCUGUGCCGCGGUGUGUGUGUGUGUGUGUGUGUGUGUGCACAAUCUCAAUGCAGGUAGGUUAUCCAGGCACACGGGACACCUGGUAGAGCACCUUUAGGAAGAUGAGCCAAGAAUUAUUUCCAUAAACCAUGUCAGAAUCGUCACUGAACACUUGCCCUUCCUCCUUAUGAAAAUGUUUAAUUUACUCAUUGUUAGACAAAAAGGCAGACGCUUAAGAUUUUUAAAAGAAGUGUUAUCUAUGGCAAA
rnacentral:lncRNA from 10 species